AUGGCAAAGUAUUGGUGGAGUAGCUCCAUUGACCACCGGUCUUUGCAUUGGGUGUCUUGGGAAAAUCUCACUGUACCAAAGAUGAAUGGAGGUAUGUUGUUUAGGGAUUUUGAAAGUUUUAACCUAGCCUUGCUUGGCAAGCAUGGAUGGCGGCUUUUGACCCAUCCCAACUCCUUAUGCUCAAGAGUUUUGAAGGGAAAAUAUUUUCAUAAUUGUGAUUUCAUGGAAGCACAUGCACCUCGCUCAGUGUCGGCAACUUGGAAGGCGAUCAUAGCAGGUCGAAAGGCGUUGGAAUGUGGCUUGAUUAAACGUGCAGGGAAGGGUGAAUCUAUCUCCACCUGGUCGGAUAGGUGGAUCCCGAACACGAGUACUCACAAGCCAACUGGUCGGAUUGGGAUUGAUCCUAUACCUCGGGUCCCGGAACUUUUCGAUCAUGAGACGGGGUCUUGGGAUGUUGAUCUAGUCCGAAGGAACUUUUUACCGUCAGAUGCUGCGGCUAUAUUGAAUAUACCAUUAAGAGCUUCCGACGGGGAGGAUUAUAUUGCUUGGGAUUUGGAGAGGUCUGGUGUUUAUUCUAAUAAAUUGGCUUAUCAUGCUCUAGUGACUCAUAACGAGCGUUCUGCUCCAGAGGAAGGAACAAUAACGGAACCAUCAUUGUCAGAAAAACACAUGUGGACUGCCUUGUGGAAGCUCAAGGUUAUUCCCAGAGUAAGAGUUUUUUGGUGGCGAGUGUUGCGGGGAAUCCUCCCGGACUAUGCUACCCUCCAUCAUCUUCAUAUUCGUACGAUGUCGAUUUGUGAUCUAUGCAAGACUACGACGGAAGACUUGCACCAUGUGCUGAUUGGCUGCUAG
rnacentral:rRNA from 1 species